rnacentral:rRNA from 1 species
AGAAAAAGAAAAUAUACUAGUUGUACCUUUUGUAUCAGGGGAGUUUUAAAGUGUAUAGAGUAUAAAGUCGAUUUUACUGGAUCUUUUUGUAGCUCAGUUAGUUGGAUUUAACGGGGUUAAAUAGUACGAGGUGAGAUAUGUUCGUCGGUAAUGGUAUCUAAUUGGUUUAUAGAUAAUAAAAGGUUAAGCUUUUAACGGUUCAGAAAAGCAGUUAUGUAGGUAAACUAGGCUUUAAAUUAGUUAUGUUUUUAAAUUGUUUCAAAUAAUCUUUAUUUAAGGCGUGGUGUGAAUUUGUUCGAGCUAUUUUAGUCGAUAUUAGCUAAUAAAAUUAAUGAAUUCAUUGAAUAAUUAAAGAAAUUUUAAAAUAAUUAAGUAUUAGCUGGAAAGUUUAACAAAAACAUUUCUAUUUGGUUAAAGAAAAGUAAGUCCUGCCCGGUGUAAAUUUAAACGGCUGCGGUAUUUUGACUGUGCUAAGGUAGCAUAAUCAUUUGUCAUUUAAUUAAUGACUGGAAUGAAAGGUUUAACUGGCUAGUCUAGUUUGUAAAGUUAUACAGGAUAUUUAAGUAAAGAUAAAAAUUUCUUUAUUUUCCAGGGGACGAUAAGACCCUAGAAGCUUGAUAAAUAAGGUUAUAUUAGAGAUAGUAAUAAAUUUAUUUUACUGGGGCGGUAGUAUUGCACUAACCAAUAUGUAUUUGAGUGAUCCUUUGUAUAGAGAUAUAGCGGUGUAGUUACUCUAGGGAUAACAGUACAAUAUAUUUGGAGAGAUCUUAUCGAUAAAUAUGCUUGCAACCUCGAUGUUGAAUUAAGAUAUCUACGUAGGGUAGCCAAGACAGUAGAAGGUUUGUUCAACC